GGGGAAUUUUCCGCAAUGGGCGAAAGCCUGACGGAGCAAUACCGCGUGAGGGAGGAAGGCUCUAGGGUUGUAAACCUCUUUUCUCAGGGAAGAACAAAAUGACGGUACCUGAGGAAUAAGCAUCGGCUAACUCCGUGCCAGCAGCCGCGGUAAUACGGAGGAUGCAAGCGUUAUCCGGAUUUAUUGGGCGUAAAGCGUCCGCAGGUGGCAGUUCAAGUCUGCUGUCAAAGGUCGGGGCUUAACCCCGAACAGGCAGUGGAAACUGAACAGCUAGAGUACGGUAGGGGCAGAGGGAAUUCCCAGUGUAGCGGUGAAAUGCGUAGAGAUUGGGAAGAACACCGGUGGCGAAAGCGCUCUGCUAGGCCGAAACUGACACUCAUGGACGAAAGCUAGGGGAGCGAAUGGGAUUAGAUACCCCAG
rnacentral:rRNA from 1 species